UGCCCAGUGAUACGCCCACGGACUUACCAAGCGAUACGCCUGGCGAUGUGCCCAGUGACGCACUAAGCGAUAUGCCCAGCAAUUUGCCCAGCGAUUUGCCCAGGCCAGCAUACCCAGAUCACAUCGUCAAAGCACUGACAUUCAACAAAAUUUCUGAGCGCACCAGGUUGCUUAAAAUUUCAUCUCUGCCAUACCACCCAGGUAAGUAUAUCCACCAUGCCACCCUUGGAGCACUGAGACUCCAUUCCCAGGUACGUUCUCUGAUCUCUGCUAUUGGCUGGGACACUUUUUUCCUCCUGCGCAUGCUUUCCUUCCUUGAACUCACACAGGAGUUCUUCACCACAUUCUAUUUUGAUAAAAAUGCCAUGCAUAACCUACACACACCUGGCACAAUUGGAUUUAGGUUAUUAGGGAAGCGAUUUCGCUUAUCCCUGCAGGAAUUCGGCAUAGCCAUGGGCUGUGAAUGCCCUCAGUCCACCUGGGACUUCCCUGCUGAGUUUGAUCCAAGCUCUGUGUACUUGGAAUUAAGUGACAAUCCACCAGACUCUUACUCUCCUACUAGGUCCAAGGACCUAUACCUCAGUAACCCAAGUCUGAAAUACCUUCACAGAUUCCUGGCCUACACAUUUUCUGGGAGGAAGGAUGCUUCCAACAUCCUGACCAGAACUGAAUUGUAUAUCCUUUGGUGCAUGCACAGGGGCAGAAAAAUUCAUCUUGGAUAUUGGGUUGCCACCCAACUAUCCAGCAUCAUACAAUAUAAUAGGCCCUUGAUUUUUGGUCCUUUGAUCACUACCAUUGCAGUGAAUCUCAAACUAUUGCACCCCGCACAUACUGACCUCUCCCCCACCCCCAAAACAACCCCCUUGGACCUACGCACAUUGGAUGAUAUGGGGUUGCUUUGCAAGGUGGGGGAUGUUUUUUCCAUUGCACCUGCAGGUCCAGUAACACCACGCCAUGAGCGUGUUUUCAGAAGGAAGAAAGCCACCAUAAGCACCACCACCCAGCAGCCAGCCAUUAUAGCAGAUACUGCAGAUCAGGCAACACAAGCAAUAGGGCAGGAACCAGCAAAUGAGCCACCUCCAGCAGCCCACCAGCAGGAUGCUCCUCAGCCACCUGAAGACGAAGCCCCCAACCAGACAGUAGAGGCUCGUCUUAGAAGGAUUGAAGAUCGAAUGCAAAGGAUGGAGCACUUGUUGGACCUGCUGGUGGACCAUUUUCUGCCCCAGCACCGUGACAGAUAGCGAUUUGCCCAGUGAUUUGCCCAGUGCUUGCCCAAGUCACUGGUCAAAUCACCCCCAGGCCAGGAAAUAUCUUUCCCUUUUCUCCUUCAUUUUUCUAUAUGUUUAUUCACACAUUGAGGACAAUAUGUGGGAUAGGUGUGGGGGUACUGGAG
rnacentral:lncRNA from 1 species